rnacentral:sRNA from 1 species
CCACGAUCAUCUCGGCCCAGAGGACGGC